rnacentral:rRNA from 1 species
GACGAACGCUGGCGGCGUGCCUAAUACAUGCAAGUAGAACGCUGAAGACUUUAGCUUGCUAAAGUUGGAAGAGUUGCGAACGGGUGAGUAACGCGUAGGUAACCUGCCUACUAGCGGGGGAUAACUAUUGGAAACGAUAGCUAAUACCGCAUAACAGCAUUUAACCCAUGUUAGAUGCUUGAAAGGAGCAAUUGCUUCACUAGUAGAUGGACCUGCGUUGUAUUAGCUAGUUGGUGAGGUAACGGCUCACCAAGGCGACGAUACAUAGCCGACCUGAGAGGGUGAUCGGCCACACUGGGACUGAGACACGGCCCAGACUCCUACGGGAGGCAGCAGUAGGGAAUCUUCGGCAAUGGGGGCAACCCUGACCGAGCAACGCCGCGUGAGUGAAGAAGGUUUUCGGAUCGUAAAGCUCUGUUGUAAGAGAAGAACGUGUGUGAGAGUGGAAAGUUCACGCAGUGACGGUAACU